rnacentral:rRNA from 1 species
UGAUGAAGGCCUUUGGGUUGUAAAAUCCUGUUUUGGGGGAAGAAACCUUAAGGGUCCAAUAAACCCUUGAAUUGACGGUACCCCAAGAGAAAGCUCCGGCUAAUUAUGUGCCAGCAGCCGCGGUAAUACAUAAGGAGCAAGCGUUAUCCGGAAUUAUUGGGCGUAAAGAGCUCGUAGGCGGUCUUAAAAGUCAGGUGUGAAAUCAUCAGGCUCAACCUGAUAAGGUCAUCUGAAACUUUAAGACUUGAGGAUAGAAGAGGAAAGUGGAAUUCCCGGUGUAGCGGUGAAAUGCGUAGAUAUCGGGAGGAAUACCAGUGGCGAAGGCGGCUUUCUGGUCUAUUUCUGACGCUGAGGAGCGAAAGCUAGGGGAGCAAACGGGAUUAGAUACCCCGGUAGUCCUAGCUGUAAACGAUGGAUACUAGGUGUGGGAGGUAUCGACCCCUUCUGUGCCGCAGCUAACGCAUUAAGUAUCCCGCCUGGGGAGUACGGUCGCAAGGCU